rnacentral:rRNA from 1 species
AGAGUUUGAUCCUGGCUCAGGACGAACGCUGGCGGCGUGCUUAACACAUGCAAGUCGAACGGAAUCCAUGGUGUAGCAAUACAUCGGAAGAUUUAGUGGCGAACGGGUGAGGAUCACGUGAGAAACCUGCCCCAGACUUUGGGAUAACAAUUGGAAACGAUUGCUAAUACCGAAUGACGUCGGAGAACCGCAUGGUUCACUGACGAAAGGAAGUCCGGUUUGGGAGGGUCUCGCGGCCUAUCAGCUUGUUGGUGGGGUAAUGGCCUACCAAGGCAACGACGGGUAGCUGGUCUGAGAGGAUGAUCAGCCACACUGGGACUGAGACACGGCCCAGACUCCUACGGGAGGCAGCAGUGGGGAAUCUUGCGCAAUGGGCGAAAGCCUGACGCAGCAACGCCGCGUGCGGGAUGAAGGCCUUCGGGCUGUAACCGCUUUCAGCAGGAACGAAAAUGACGGUACCUGCAGAAGAAGGAGCGGCCAACUACGUGCCAGCAGCCGCGGUGACACGUAGGCUCCAAGCGUUGUCCGGAUUUAUUGGGCGUAAAGAGCUCGUAGGCGGUUUAGUAAGUCGGGUGUUAAAACUCUGGGCUCAACCCGGAGAGGCCAUCCGAUACUGCUGUGACUUGAGUUCAGGAGGGGAGCGGGGAAUUCCUAGUGUAGCGGUGAAAUGCGCAGAUAUUAGGAGGAACACCGGUGGCGNNNNCGCCGCUCUGGACUGAAACUGACGCUGGGGAGCGAAAGCAUGGGUAGCANNCAGGAUUAGAUACCCUGGUAGUCCAUGCCGU